GACGAACGCUGGCGGCGUGCCUAAUACAUGCAAGUCGAACGAGAGCGACCGGUGCUUGCACUGGUCAAUCUAGUGGCGAACGGGUGAGUAACACGUGGGUAACCUGCCCAUCAGAGGGGGAUAACAUCCGGAAACGGGUGCUAAAACCGCAUAGGUCUUCGAACCGCAUGGUUUGAAGAGGAAAAGAGGCGCAAGCUUCUGCUGAUGGAUGGACCCGCGGUGCAUUAGCUAGUUGGUGAGGUAACGGCUCACCAAGGCCGUGAUGCAUAGCCGACCUGAGAGGGUGAUCGGCCACAUUGGGACUGAGACACGGCCCAAACUCCUACGGGAGGCAGCAGUAGGGAAUCUUCCGCAAUGGACGCAAGUCUGACGGAGCAACGCCGCGUGAGUGAAGAAGGUUUUCGGAUCGUAAAACUCUGUUGUUAGAGAAGAACAAGUGCUAGAGUAACUGUUAGCGCCUUGACGGUAUCUAACCAGAAAGCCACGGCUAACUACGUG
rnacentral:rRNA from 1 species